UUACGGCCUUAUCAUGUUGAAACACCAGGUUCCUCUCACAAUCCCCCAAAGUUAAGCAACGUCGAGCCUGAUCAGUACCUAGAUGGGUGACUGCUUGGGAAUACCAGAUGCU